GUGGGGAAUAUUGGGCAAUGGGCGCAAGCCUGACCCAGCAACGCCGCGUGAAGGAAGAAGGCUUUCGGGUUGUAAACUUCUUUUACCAGGGACGAAACAAAUGACGGUACCUGGUGAAUAAGCCACGGCUAACUACGUGCCAGCAGCCGCGGUAAUACGUAGGUGGCGAGCGUUAUCCGGAUUUAUUGGGUGUAAAGGGCGUGUAGGCGGGACAGCAAGUCAGAUGUGAAAACCAGAGGCUCAACCUCUGGCCUGCAUUUGAAACUGUUGUUCUUGAGUGUCGGAGAGGUAAUCGGAAUUCCGUGUGUAGCGGUGAAAUGCGUAGAUAUACGGAGGAACACCAGUGGCGAAGGCGGAUUACUGGACGAUAACUGACGCUGAGGCGCGAAAGCGUGGGGAGCAAACAGGAUUAGAUACCCUAGUAGUCC
rnacentral:rRNA from 1 species